rnacentral:rRNA from 1 species
GGGUUUGAUCCUGGCUCAGGAUGAACGCUGGCGGCGUGCUUAACACAUGCAAGUCGAACGAACCUUCGGGUUAGUGGCGGACGGGUGAGUAACGCGUGGGAAUCUGCCCUCAGGAGGGGGAUAACGGUUGGAAACGGCCGCUAAUACCCCAUAUGCCGAGAGGUGAAAUGAAUUUCGCCUGAGGAUGAGCCCGCGUCUGAUUAGCUAGUUGGUGAGGUAAGAGCUCACCAAGGCAUCGAUCAGUAGCUGGUCUGAGAGGAUGAUCAGCCACACUGGGACUGAGACACGGCCCAGACUCCUACGGGAGGCAGCAGUGGGGAAUUUUCCGCAAUGGGCGAAAGCCUGACGGAGCAACGCCGCGUGAGGGAUGAAGGCCUCUGGGCUGUAAACCUCUUUUAUCAAGGAAGAAGAUCUGACGGUACUUGAUGAAUAAGCCACGGCUAAUUCCGUGCCAGCAGCCGCGGUAAUACGGGAGUGGCAAGCGUUAUCCGGAAUUAUUGGGCGUAAUGCGUCCGCAGGCGGCCCUACAAGUCUGCUGUUAAAAAGUGGAGCUUGACUCCAUCAUGCCAGUGGAAACUGUUGGGCUUGAGUGUGGUAGGGGCAGAGGGAAUUCCCGGUGUAGCGGUGAAAUGCGUAGAUAUCGGGAAGAACACCAGUGGCGAAGGCGCUCUGCUGGGCCAUCACUGACGCUCAUGGACGAAAGCCAGGGGAGCGAAAGGGAUUAGAUACCCCUGUAGUCCUGGCCGUAAACGAUGAACACUAGGUGUCGGGGGAAUCGACCCCUCCGGUGUCGUAGCCAACGCGUUAAGUGUUCCGCCUGGGGAGUACGCACGCAAGUGUGAAACUCAAAGGAAUUGACGGGGGCCCGCACAAGCGGUGGAGUAUGUGGUUUAAUUCGAUGCAACGCGAAGAACCUUACCAGGGUUUGACAUCCUGCGAAUCUCUUGGAAACUUGAGAGUGCCUUCGGGAGCGC